rnacentral:sRNA from 2 species
AAAUAUAUUUGUUAGGUGAGGCUCCUAUAUGGAUACACGCUGCUGCCGGGAAACAUCGAGAGAUGCCAAUCAUGGUCAACAGAUACUACCGAAUUAAGGUUUUAUCUAAUGCAGCUUUGACUUAUGUCAUACGCCCUAUAGUGCUAAAACUCAACGAAAGCUAUUGUU